AACGAACGCUGGCGGCAGGCCUAACACAUGCAAGUCGAACGUGAAGCCACCUUCGGGUGGUGGAAAGUGGCAGACGGGUGAGUAACGCGUGGGAACGUGCCUUUCGGUUCGGAAUAACCCAGGGAAACUUGGGCUAAUACCGGAUACGCCCUUCGGGGGAAAGAUUCAUCGCCGAAAGAUCGGCCCGCGUCGGAUUAGCUAGUUGGUAGGGUAAUGGCCUACCAAGGCGACGAUCCGUAGCUGGUCUGAGAGGAUGACCAGCCACACUGGGACUGAGACACGGCCCAGACUCCUACGGGAGGCAGCAGUGGGGAAUAUUGGACGAUGGGCGAAAGCCUGAUCCAGCCAUGCCGCGUGGGUGAAGAAGGCCCUAGGGUUGUAAACCCCUUUCAGCGGGGAAGAUAAUGACGGUACCCGCAGAAGAAGCCCCGGCUAACUCCGUGCCAGCCGCCGCCGUAA
rnacentral:rRNA from 1 species